GACGAACGCUGGCGGCGUGCCUAAUACAUGCAAGUAGAACGCUGAAGGAGGAGCUUGCUCUUCUGGAUGAGUUGCGAACGGGUGAGUAACGCGUAGGUAACCUGCCUGGUAGUGGGGGAUAACUAUUGGAAACGAUAGCUAAUACCGCAUAAUAACAGUUGUUGCAUGACAACUGUUUGAAAGGUGCAAUUGCAUCACUACCAGAUGGACCUGCGUUGUAUUAGCUAGUUGGUGGGGUAACGGCUCACCAAGGCGACGAUACAUAGCCGACCUGAGAGGGUGAUCGGCCACACUGGGACUGAGACACGGCCCAGACUCCUACGGGAGGCAGCAGUAGGGAAUCUUCGGCAAUGGACGAAAGUCUGACCGAGCAACGCCGCGUGAGUGAAGAAGGUUUUCGGAUCGUAAAGCUCUGUUGUAAGAGAAGAACGAGUGUGAGAGUGGAAAGUUCACACUGUGACGGUAUCUUACCAGAAAGGGGCGGCUAACUACGUG
rnacentral:rRNA from 1 species